CGGGUGUAGUUUAGUGGUAGAACGGUAGCUUCCCAAGCUCUAGGUGAGGGUUCGAUUCCCUCCACCC
rnacentral:tRNA from 1 species